AUUGAACGCUGGCGGCAUGCUUUACACAUGCAAGUCGGACGGCAGCGGGGGUGCUUGCACCUGCCGGCGAGUGGCGAACGGGUGAGUAACAUAUUGGAAUGUACCGAGUAGUGGGGGAUAACCAGUCGAAAGAUUGGCUAAUACCGCAUACGUCCUGAGGGGGAAAGCAGGGGAUCUUCGGACCUUGCGCUAUUUGAGCAGCCAAUAUCUGAUUAGCUAGUUGGUGGGGUAAAGGCCCACCAAGGCGACGAUCAGUAGCGGGUCUGAGAGGAUGAUCCGCCACACUGGGACUGAGACACGGCCCAGACUCCUACGGGAGGCAGCAGUGGGGAAUUUUGGACAAUGGGGGCAACCCUGAUCCAGCCAUGCCGCGUGUCUGAAUGAGGCCUUCGGGUUGUAAAGGACUUUUGUUAGGGAAGAAAAGGGAAGUGUUAAUACCACUUUUUGCUGACGGUACCUAAAGAAUAAGCACCGGCUAACUACGUGCCAGCAGCCGCGGUAAUACGUAGGGUGCGAGCGUUUAUCGGAAUUACUGGGCGUAAAGCGAGCGCAGACGGUUACUUAAGUGGGAUGUGAAAUCCCCGGGGCUCAACCUGGUAACUGCGUUCUGAACUGGGUUAGCUUGAGUAUGUCAGAGGUGGGUUGAAUUCUGCGUUUUGCAGUGAAAUGUGUAUAGAUGUGGAGUAUUACCGAUGGUGUAGGCUUCCCCCUUGUGAUGUGUUUGACGUUAUGGUUCGAAACGUUGUGUUGUUUUCAUUGAUUAUAUACCCUGGUUGUUCUGAGGGUGGAUUUUCCUGUUGUAGUGUCAUGGUUUGUGUGUGCCGUCGACUCGUGGGGUGUGUAAAAUAAAAAUAUUUGUUCUCUUAUUGAUGUGUAUUUGCUCUUGUUUGUCUCUUUCCCCCCCUCCUUUUCUUGUGUUGUUUGCUGUGUGUUCGUGUGUUUUUAGUGUUGCUGUCCUGUUGUGUGUCUUCCUGUGCUUUGUGUGUGUUUUUCUUUUUUGAUUUUUCUCUAUUGCUAGUGUGUGUCUUAGCUUUUGCUAGUAGACCCUGUAUGAUAUAUACUAGUGAGUUCUUGUUUUGUCUCUUUGUGCUGUUAGAUCUGCUUUCGUUUUUGUUGUUCUGUAGCCUCUGUGUGCUAUAGUUGCUGCU
rnacentral:rRNA from 1 species